AAGUCGUAACAAGGUUUCCGUAGGUGAACCUGCGGAAGGAUCAUUAUUGAAAAAAAAUAACAUCCACACCUCUGUGCAACCCCACCUUUUUUUAUAUAUAUGGCAAAAGAGUCGAUUUUUUUUCCUUGGGUUUUUAUAACUCUCGGGGGAGAAUAGACUUUUUCCCAUUAUAUUUUACCUAUACGUUUGAAACUUAUUUUCUGUAAAAAGGAAAAUGUAUGACAAACAAAAAACAACUUUCAGCAACGGAUCUCUUGGCUCUC
rnacentral:misc_RNA from 1 species